AAGCUUGCUUAAUUACAAGUUUGCCACUCACCAAAGAAAAUGUUAUAAAAGCAACUUUAUAGCAAUUUUCUCAUAAGGGUUUUUCUAAUAGAAAUUGGGUGAAACUUUUUCUCUCAUUUUCUACAUAGAGGCCGGCCACUUAGAGGAUUUUUACUAGUAUACAACCUUGGUGAAGAGACUUAGAGACAUCAAGCUUUUGAUGUUUUUGGAGAACAAAUCCUUUUUCCUCAAAUCAUCAA
rnacentral:lncRNA from 1 species